CAAGUCCUCCAUCUGUUGUAUUUCAGAGUCAUCUACUGAAAUGCGCAUGCGCAGCAGCCAGCCCCGACCUGUCCGGUGUUGUGAUACCACUUUGUGACACUAGACGCUGUGUGAGUCAGUGGCGCGUCAAGUCUGCCCUCAGUCCCACGAAGAAGAACAACAACUUCCGGCAGCGCUAGCAUCACAGAAACACAGGAAUGGCUGAACCUCCUAAAAGGCGAUAUUCAUCCGCAUCCCGAAGGACCGCUCCCGACAAGAAACCACGUUCAACGGCAAAGAAAAUAAGCAACACGAGUAAAUCUCGAUGUGGUUUUCCACCGCUGGAGAAGCUCCUGAGAGUAAAGAGAUGCGGUUUGAUGCCGAGCUUGCAACUUUCCUGUUAGCCUGGGAUGGCAGACUCCACCUCAGGCCAGAAACCAGCAAGAAAUGGUGACAAAGAAGCUGCUGUUGCUGCUUCUGAAACAGUUGCCUGGGUUACCAAUGUUGGUGUGUUGGCGUUCCAGGACGGCGGCCGGAUUGAUGAUGCCACAUAUUCAAGGUGAACCCCCGGAGGUUCCUGUUUUCACAUUGAGGCAUAGCGGUCCUCGCUGGAGGGGAAGCACAGGAUGUUCGGCCUGACUGUUGCCAAAGUGAUCCAGAGGAUCUCCUGGGAGGAGUGGAGUCUCCACUGUUGGAGGAGGACACAUGGGGCGGAGGAGACAGCUCUCCUCAUCUAGGAUCUCCACGUCACCCUGGACGUCUCUUUGCUGGAUUCUCUCUGCAUCCAGGACACAUGGAGACACAGAGGAGCCGCCUCACCUGCAUUCAGGACCCAGCAGGUACAGCUGUACACAGAGACUGGUAGACUGACAAAGGGCGGGGUCAGCCUUCUGGUUUCCACCUU